rnacentral:lncRNA from 1 species
GAUCCUUCUUUAGCUGAGGAUACUUGAUUUCUGUCUGAUGGUGGAAAUAUCCAAUAGAGCCUGGCUGGGGAUAAAAGACCAAUUCGUCCGGUUUUGCCGAUUUCUCCUGGGGAAUAACUGGCGUCGCCGGGGAAUCGAGUUAGCAACAGAUUCAUUGAGAAGCGUGAUUAGACCUUCUCCUCGAUCCUGAAGUCUCAUAGUAAUUGCUA